rnacentral:tRNA from 1 species
AUUUAUGUAGUUUAUAAAAAACAUUACAUUUUCACUGUAAAGAUAAAUUAUUUUUCAUAAAUA